AAGUCUAUACUUUCAGGGAUCAUUUCUAUAGUUCGUUACUAAAGAAGUUUCUCUGACUGUGCAGAGUACCCGAAACCACAAGGAGGAGACGUAGCAUUCUCUCCUGAGCGUGAAGCUGGCUCCUGAUGUUGCUUCGCUCCAACUGCCUUUUGCCAUUGACGAUUCGUCUUCUCUUUUUUGGGAGAGUAGAGGGAGAGGAUGCAAACUUGAAUGGU
ensembl:snoRNA U3 Small nucleolar RNA U3